rnacentral:misc_RNA from 1 species
CGCCGCAGCAAACCUAAAAAUAAUUACCAAAUGCAUAAGAAAAACAUUGACAUAUGGCUAUUUGCUUCUCACGUACUAGAAGCUAUCACUAAAAUAACAUUAAAGCACUAUAGGACAAUCCUUCUCAUUUAACUGUCACAAAAUACAUGCCAGCCCAUUGUCCCAGUAGAAACCAUAAGUUUUUUCGAUAGGUAGAAACCGUAAGUUAUGUCAGAGGAAGUAUCAUCCCAUUUAUCUGUGCUCCCCAUCGGAAUGAAAAAUCACACACACACAAAUAAACUCACACAAGCCUUAUGGUUCAAUUUUACAGGAUCAUAUCCAUAAACACAAAAAGAACUAUCAAAAAGCAGAUUCUCCACUUAAUAGAUAGAAGCAUACAACAAAAAUAAUGAAGUUUUAGAUUUCUCUAAGAAAGGAAACUAGGUCCACUCUAG